UACGGAGGGGCUAGCGUUGUUCGGAAUUACUGGGCGUAAAGCGCACGUAGGCGGCUUUGUAAGUUAGAGGUGAAAGCCCAGGGCUUAACCCUGGAAUUGCCUUUAAGACUGCAUCGCUAGAAUCGUGGAGAGGUGAGUGGAAUUCCGAGUGUAGAGGUGAAAUUCGUAGAUAUUCGGAAGAACACCAGUGGCGAAGGCGACUCACUGGACACGUAUUGACGCUGAGGUGGCGAAA
rnacentral:rRNA from 1 species